rnacentral:lncRNA from 1 species
AUGCAGAAACAUUCUGAGGUUGCCAUGACUGAGGGGCCCUACAUCAGACAACACUCCCUCCCUUGGGAGGUGGAUGGGAAUGUUCACAUCAAAGCCUCCUCCAGGGGAGGGGAUGAAAGAACAGGAGCACCACUUUCUUCCUAUGAAUUUUGUGGCUGUUUUGAGACCCUUCUGACUGCCCCCUGGGCAGUGCCAGAGGCCAGCCUGAGGAUGCCUUCAUUUCAACAAGGAGGUGGCCGUGUUCCCUUGGUAGGAAAUGGGACAGGGAGAACCAUCUCCCCAUCAGUAGUCAUUGUCAGAGUUGGCCAUACCCUCCCGAACAUGCUUCUAACAGCUUUGGGUGGAGGAGGUGAUGAGGUUCCAGGGACCACACCACCAGUCCCCAGGGUCUAUGGACAUCAGCCUCAGGCCUUUCCAGAAUAUCUACAUGUAGCCUUUGUUGGUGCUGGUGAUGGAAGAGAUGGAGUAGUUGUCCAAGCCAGACAGUCACAGAUCUUCCCAAACAAUCAUCACAGAAUUCGAUCAAUGACCCAUGGCAGAAGAUACCGGGCCUUCCCCGAGGGCAUGCUGGCAGCUUUGGCUGGAGAGUAGUUGCCUCUCACCAUAGCCAGUCUCGCCCUGAUGGCCCUCGAGGACCCAUAGUCAGGAAUGGAAAUGGAAGACAUAGACCUCUUCCCUGGAACAUAAUAUCCCAAAAUCUCCCAGGUGGCUUUGGACAGGAAGAUGGAAGAGCUGAAGCUAUUUCCUCUGUUCAGAUCGUCCCAGAGGCACUGUAAUUGGAGUCUAGGAAGGACUAAAGCCCACGAUCAGAUCCCCUUCCUUUCCUCCCUUUCCCCUCGUCUCCCUUCCCCCUCAUUCCCUUCUCCUCUCCCUCUUCCUUCCUUCCUUCCUUCCUUCCUUCCUUCCUUCCUUCCUUCCUUCCUUCUUUCUUUCCUUCCUUAUUCCUUCCUUUCCCUUCUAAAUUCCCAUCUUUUCUCCUUCCCUUUCUCUUCUUCUGUGGCCCUUCCCCUGUGGACCCAUGACUCCUUGCAACUAGAGAAGAGCAGAAGGCCCAAAGUCAUCCUCUCCCCAGAUGUUGCUCAUGGAGGACAUUCUUUGAAGUUUUAAUGUGUUAUCUUACAUUCUUUUCUCUAAAAAUAAAAAGCUCUCCCAUCGCA